GUUUCCUGCAAACAGUGUAGGACACUCAGCUACUACAGUAUCACAUCUGCCUGCACCCCACCAUGUUCCCAGUCAUGGUGGUAAUGGACUGAACCUCUGAAACUUGGCUGGAAUGAACUCCAUGUACACUUUGCAAUCUCAGGAUCCAGCACCAGACACGAGCAACUAUCAGGAUCAUUCCUCAGGCUGCCAUAUAGGAUCCAGUCUAGCUUCAAGAAUAUCCAGAAUUUUCUACAUGAAGAAGAGAAGUCUUACCUUUGGAGGUUGGAGAAUGAAGAAGAACAGGUGCUGAGGAGACUGAAGGGCUAUGAGGCCAAUCUACAGCAGCAGUAUGAGAAAAUUGACAGGAACUGGAGGCAAAAUGUCAGGGCUCACCCAGAAAAAUACUACAGGUAAAGGUGUGGGCUAGGAGUUGGGAAAGAAGGCAUAUGAUUAACGAGAAGACAAUGGUAAAGUAUCCCGACCUGCAGGACGUCAACCUGGAGCAAGAGAGUCAGGGAUAGGGAAUGGGGACAAGAGACGCAGAAAGAACGACCACAAGACAGGAUUCUGAUCAAGUGGCAAACUUUAUUUUUCUCUCAGGCUAGCUUAUACAGUCAACAGAGCAGGAUAUGGGGAGGGGAAGAAUGGGUUGUUUGUGAGCCAGGUGUUAGUGUAGGUGGGAUUUUAGGAAGCCACUAAGAGGAUGUUUGGCAGGGUAAAGAAUUUAUGAGUAAGAGGUCCAGGAAGGGUUGCUUAGGUGACUGAGCCUGUGGGUGGAGGACUGGGUCAGGUUGUUUCUUUUCUUGAGCUGAGGUUCGAAGGAGCUGCUAUGUAAGGGUUAACUAUGUGGCCUGCCAAGCCCUGAGAUUUGGCUCCCAACAGUAAAGGAAUAUGGAGAUUGGUGAGGCCUACCUCCACUCAGAAUGGCAGUAAUAUUGGAGUGGGAAGUUUAGGGUCAUGUUUGAGUAGCAUCAGAGUGACUUCCACUAGGCUACAGGAUCCUUUAGGUUAAUUAGAAAAAUUCACUUUCUCUGGCUGAACAUGGAAUAACUAAAUGGGAUAAUUUCUGCCAUCUUGCUCACAUUAGCUUAUCCACUGAGGUAUCUGAUAGACUUAUUCUUAAAAUCUUCUUCCAAGUGACAGAUUGUGACAGUGUAGACACAUAAGAGAAUAAUACCAACUCCACGACUUCCUCUAGGGUUCCUGAUCCAGAACUUACUCACAGCUGUAUGAUUGAUGUGUCCCUUCCAUCAAAAUAAACAUCUGGAGCUCUGAGUUCUCCUUCCUCUGCUGGGGCUGCUGGUUACAGCAUGAGGUUAAGAAUGGUGCACCUAGCUCCACUCCACUACGAUAGCUUCUUUUCCAUUUCAGUGGCCCAGCCUCAGGAGCUGUGCAUGGAUCACUAGAGACUUGUGUUACUAGUUAUCUCUAAUGAGAAUUCUCUAUGAAGGAGAUUUAGUCACCGAAAGCAGUCUUGCCAGAGGAAGGAUGAGCAAAGACAUUAAUUCGAAUUCCAAGAAGUCCACACUGUAGGUCUUACAGGUCAACAAGCUUCUACAAUAGAGAAGCAGGCUCCUACUUUAUUGGCCAGAGACUGGAUGUAAAACACCCCUCGGUGUCCAUCUUAUGGGGCGGGUGUGAAAAAUACUUUGAGCAGGUGUGAGGCUAUGAACCUAGAAACACUGAAAGUUGAUUUCCUGAAGGUUAAUAUGACAUGUAAUGUUUCUGAGCUUUACUUUGAUGUGGAGACACUGGUAAGACACCACCACGGUAGGUGUGUGAUCUAUGGCUUGGAGGAUCUUACACAGGAGACAGUCUCACCUCCUGCUGCAACACCUCCUCACUUCUAUUUUUUUUACACUUAUCUGUGGGUACAAGAACAAAUAUUUAGAUUGUAGUUAGAGACUGUGUUGGUUUAGUAAGGUGUGAUUGUGGGUUCCCCUCCAAGAUCCAUGAAUUCACUAACACUGAGUAGCUGGCUGAGUUUCCAGUAACCAGGCAUAGUUUCCCCGUUGUUGAGUGGGUCUUAAGUCCAAUUAGAGAGCUGUUGGUUACUACCAAGGUGUGUGUACCACUACUAUUCCCUUGUGGUUACUGUGUAAUGUUGGUCAUUGUUCAGAGGCAUCAUAGCUGGGUAGGACUGUUGGUUGCUUCCUUCAUUUGGAAGCUUUCAUGACACCUCUGGUACCAUGAAAACUAGUCCUUAGGGAGGAGGCAGUCGGGUCAGUUGCAGACAAGAGGCCUCUGAUCCCUGUGUCUGAAGUUCAUGGUGUCUUCAACAAUAGGGACUUACCUUCCACCUGUAAGGGCAAUAGCAAUAGGCUGUAUGUUCUGGAAAUCUCUUGAUCUACCCUGACCAGCAACUCAAGAGCUCUCAUGUCUGGAAUUGUGGUUUUUGUUAGACCAUUUUGAAUCUUGAAGGAAACAUUGUCAAUCCAGAUGAGAAAAGUUCACUCAAACUAUGUAUCUAUUACUUAUGCACAGAAUUACUUGUUUUAAAAUUAAAGAUAGUUAAUAGUAUGACUCCUUUUGACUUUCGUAAGACCUCCUUACUGUUAUUUUGCCAUCCUCCCUCCUUCUUCUGGAUUUACCUCCCUCAUUCCACGCCAAAGACCCCCCUUUCCCUUUUCCCCAAUCAGAUCACUUAUACAGUACUAUUCUCCUCUCUAUUGCUCCCUAACACCUCCCCAUCCCAGAAAUGGUCCAUUUUUAAUUUCCUGGUUUCUACAGUUGCUCCAGGAUAUUACUCACAUCUGAAGAUCUGGUUGCUUGCUUUUCGAGGAG
ensembl:lncRNA